rnacentral:rRNA from 1 species
GAUGAACGCUGGCGGCGUGCCUAAUACAUGCAAGUCGAGCGAACGGACGAGAAGCUUGCUUUUCUGAUGUUAGCGGCGGACGGGUGAGUAACACGUGGAUAACCUACCUAUAAUACUGGGAUAACUUCGGGAAACCGGAGCUAAUACCGGAUAAUAUUUUGAACCGCAUGGUUCAAAAGUGAAAGACGGUCUUGCUGUCACUUAUAGAUGGAUCCGGGCUGCAUUAUCUAGUUGGUAAGGUAACGGCUUACCAAGGCAACGAUGCAUAGCCGACCUGAAAGGGUGAUCGGCCACACUGGAAGUGAGACACGGCCCAGACUCCUACGGGAGGCAGCAGUAGGGAAUCUUCCGCAAUGGGCGAAAGCCUGACGGAGCACCGCGGCGUGAGUGCUGAAGGUCUUCGGCUCGUAAAACUCUGUUAUUAGUGAAGAACAUAUGUGUAAGUAACUGUGCACAUCUUGACGGUACCUAGUCAGAAAGCCCCGGCUAACUACGUG